rnacentral:tRNA from 1 species
CAUUAGGAUCUGCUACACAAGCAAUUGGGCCCAUACCCCAAAAACGGUGCUACCACCACCUCCUAACA